UGCAGUCGAGCGGUAGAGAGAAGCUUGCUUCUCUUGAGAGCGGCGGACGGGUGAGUAAUGCCUAGGAAUCUGCCUGGUAGUGGGGGAUAACGUUCGGAAACGGACGCUAAUACCGCAUACGUCCUACGGGAGAAAGCAGGGGACCUUCGGGCCUUGCGCUAUCAGAUGAGCCUAGGUCGGAUUAGCUAGUUGGUGGGGUAAUGGCUCACCAAGGCGACGAUCCGUAACUGGUCUGAGAGGAUGAUCAGUCACACUGGAACUGAGACACGGUCCAGACUCCUACGGGAGGCAGCAGUGGGGAAUAUUGGACAAUGGGCGAAAGCCUGAUCCAGCCAUGCCGCGUGUGUGAAGAAGGUCUUCGGAUUGUAAAGCACUUUAAGUUGGGAGGAAGGGUUGUAGAUUAAUACUCUGCAAUUUUGACGUUACCGACAGAAUAAGCACCGGCUAACUCUGUGCCAGCAGCCGCGGUAAUACAGAGGGUGCAAGCGUUAAUCGGAAUUACUGGGCGUAAAGCGCGCGUAGGUGGUUUGUUAAGUUGGAUGUGAAAUCCCCGGGCUCAACCUGGGAACUGCAUUCAAAACUGACUGACUAGAGUAUGGUAGAGGGUGGUGGAAUUUCCUGUGUAGCGGUGAAAUGCGUAGAUAUAGGAAGGAACACCAGUGGCGAAGGCGACCACCUGGACUAAUACUGACACUGAGGUGCGAAAGCGUGGGGAGCAAACAGGAUUAGAUACCCUGGUAGUCCACGCCGUAACGAUGUCAACUAGCCGUUGGAAGCCUUGAGCUUUUAGUGGCGCAGCUACGCAUUAAGUUGACCGCCUGGGGAGUACGGCCGCAAGGUUAAAACUCAAAUGAAUUGACGGGGCCCGCACAAGCGGUGGAGCAUGUGGUUUAAUUCGAAGCAACGCGAGAACCUUACCAGGCCUUGACAUCCAAUGAACUUUCUAGAGAUAGAUUGGUGCCCUUCGGGAACAUUGAGACAGGUGCUGCAUGGGCUGUCGUCAG
rnacentral:rRNA from 1 species